ACCAGCAUCGCGUAGUGGUUUGAGUGUUGGACUACAAAUCUGGAGACCAGGGUUCGAUUCCCAGCUCAGCCA